UACCUAGUGGCGCAACUGGUUAGCCCGCGGUACUUCUAGAAUAGUGUUGGUUGUGAGUUCGAUCCUCACUUGGGGAA